rnacentral:rRNA from 1 species
CCUACGGGAGGCAGCAGUCGAGAAUCAUUCACAAUGGGGGAAACCCUGAUGGUGCGACGCCGCGUGGGGGAAUGAAGGUCUUCGGAUUGUAAACCCCUGUCAUGUGGGAGCAAAUUAAAAAGAUAGUACCACAAGAGGAAGAGACGGCUAACUCUGUGCCAGCAGCCGCGGUAAUACAGAGGUCUCAAGCGUUGUUCGGAAUCACUGGGCGUAAAGCGUGCGCAGGCUGUUUCGUAAGUCGUGUGUGAAAGGCGCGGGCUCAACCCGCGGACGGCACAUGAUACUGGGAGACUAGAGUAAUGGAGGGGGAACCGGAAUUCUCGGUGUAGCAGUGAAAUGCGUAGAUAUCGAGAAGAACACUCGUGGCGAAGGCGGGUUCCUGGACAUUAACUGACGCUGAGGCACGAAGGCCAGGGGAGCGAAAAGGAUUAGAUACCCUUGUAGUC